AGAACGAACGCUGGCGGCAUGCCUAAUACAUGCAAGUCGAACGAACACUUCGGUGUUAGUGGCGCACGGGUGCGUAACGCGUGGGAAUCUGCCCUUGGGUUCGGAAUAACAGUUGGAAACGACUGCUAAUACCGGAUGAUAUCGAAAGAUCAAAGAUUUAUCGCCCAGGGAUGAGCCCGCGUAGGAUUAGCUAGUUGGUGAGGUAAAGGCUCACCAAGGCGACGAUCCUUAGCUGGUCCGAGAGGAUGAUCAGCCACACUGGGACUGACGACACGGCCCAGACUCCGUACGGGAGCAGCAAGGUAGGGAAUAUGGACAAGUGGGCGCAAGCCUAGACUCCAGGACUAAGUCGCCGAGUGACGUGAUAGGAAGGUCCUUAGGGUUACGUAAAGUCCUUACCUUUAACCCGAGUA
rnacentral:rRNA from 1 species